AUUGAACGCUGGCGGCAUGCUUUACACAUGCAAGUCGAACGGCAGCGCGGGCUUCGGCCUGGCGGCGAGUGGCGAACGGGUGAGUAAUACAUCGGAACGUGCCCAGUAGUGGGGGAUAGCUCGGCGAAAGCCGGAUUAAUACCGCAUACGACCUGAGGGUGAAAGCGGGGGAGCUUCGGACCUCGCGCUCGUGGGGCGGCCGAUGGCAGGUUAGCUAGUUGGUGGGGUAAGGGCCUACCAAGGCGAGGAUCGGUAGGUGGUCUGAGAGGAAGACCGGCCACACUGGGACUGAGACACGGCCCAGACUCCUACGGGAGGCAGCAGUGGGGAAUUUGGGACAAUGGGCGAAAGCCUGAUCCAGCAAGGCGGCGUGUGUGAUGAAGGCCUUCGGGUUGUAAAGCACUUUUGGCGGGAACGAAAAGGACUGUGCCAAUACCACGGUUCGAUGACGGUACCCGCAGAAUAAGCACCGGCUAACUACGUG
rnacentral:rRNA from 1 species